rnacentral:tRNA from 1 species
AUUUAGAAAGAAAUAAAUUUAGUAUAUUAUAUAUAUAUUAAAUAAAUAUCUAAAUUUAAGUGUAUCAUUUACAAUGAUAAGAUGUUUUUUAACUUUAUUUAAA